UACGUAGGGGGCAAGCGUUGUCCGGAUUUAUUGGGCGUAAAGAGCUCGUAGGCGGUUUGUCGCGUCUGCUGUGAAAACUCAGGGCUUAACUCUGAGCUUGCAGUGGGUACGGGCAGACUAGAGUGCGGUAGGGGAGACUGGAAUUCCUGGUGUAGCGGUGAAAUGCGCAGAUAUCAGGAGGGAACACCGGUGGGCGAAGGCGGGUCUCUGGGCCGUAACUGACGCUGGAGGA
rnacentral:rRNA from 1 species